rnacentral:rRNA from 1 species
ACUCCUACGGGAGGCAGCAGUGGGGCCCUUCAAGAAUGGAGGAAACUCUGAUGCAGCGACGCCGCGUGAGUGAUGAAGGCCUUCGGGUCGUAAAACUCUGUCCUAGGGGACGAUAAUGACGGUACCCUAGGAGGAAGCCCCGGCUAACUACGUGCCAGCAGCCGCGAUAAUACGUAGGGGGCAAGCGUUAUCCGGAUUUACUGGGUGUAAAGGGAGCGUAGGUGGCAUGGUAAGUCAGAUGUGAAAGCCCGGGGCUCAACCCCGGGAUUGCAUUUGAAACUAUCAAGCUAGAGUGCAGGAGAGGUAAGUGGAAUUCCUAGUGUAGCGGUGAAAUGCGUAGAUAUUAGGAGGAACACCAGUGGCGAAGGCGGCUUACUGGACUGUAACUGACACUGAUGCUCGAAAGCGUGGGGAGCAAACAGGAUUAGAUACCCUGGUAGUC